rnacentral:rRNA from 1 species
UACGGAGGGUGCGAGCGUUGUCCGGAAUCAUUGGGCGUAAAGGGCGCGUAGGUGGCUUCUUAAGCGUGCGGUGAAAGCCUGGGGCUCAACCCCGGGUCGGCCGUGCGAACUGGGGGGCUGGAGCACUGUAGAGGCAGGCGGAAUUCCGGGUGUAGCGGUGGAAUGCGUAGAGAUCCGGAAGAACACCGGUGGCAAAGGCGGCCUGCUGGGCAGUUGCUGACACUGAGGCGCGACAGCGUGGGGAGCAAACAGG